CCUCCUCUGCGGCUGCGGUGCCUGCUUUCAUUGUAGUUGGUUUCUUCGUUCUUGACCAUUUCGAUUGGACUUUUUACUCCUCUGCGUCCGCCACCGUGCGAAGCUUUUUUUUUUUGCUUUUACUGAAGCACACACCUGCAUACACGCGCCCCGCGAGAGCACCAGGCCUUGAACGUCGCUCACUCACCAUCCACAACCUCCACACACACACACACACACACAAGCAGAGAAGGACGCCUUCAAGUGUUUCGCAAAACUGCUGCUUUUUCAGUUCACACACAAUCUCUCCCCCUCUUCUGUUUUCAUGCUGUAGGUCCUUCCAACAUCAACUGCGCGCCGCCCGGCUUCAUUCCGAGGUAAAGGCUUGCAUUUUGAUUUUUUCUCAUUCUCUUGUCUCUCGUCUUCUCCCUUCCACUCCCAACUCACAACCUACACCCAUACUCUCAUCCGCAUACCUACGUCCAGCCAAGCAUGGUCUCCUUUACUCCUCAGAUGCAGGUAAGCUGCUCUUCCUUCCCAGAGUAUCGUCUCUACUAUCAGGGCACCCAUUGCAACAUUUGGACCCGCCGCUCGCACCUCGUUGGCACUGCCGUCGCUGCCAUCGCCGCCGUGCUCGCCGCCAUUCGGCUGGAUUUGCGCAUGCUUGUGUCGUCUCUCACUGCAGGCUACUUGAUCUGCUGGGGCGGCGACGUCUUUAUAGAGCAGCGUAAGCCAGCGUCCUUUCAGAACCCCAUCUGGGCCUUUCGUGCGAACAUGGCCAUGGUGCAGGAUGUGGUGCGCGGCAAGGAAACCGUCUAAGCGAGGAGAUGCGUAGGCUCUGCAGCAGCAGUAGCAGCAGCGUUGGGUAGAGAGUGAUCAUUAGGCGCAGGCGCAGCUCCGUUCUCCUCUGUGUGGCUCUGAGCACUGCUCCUCCUUUAUGCACGUGAUCGGUUUCCAGACGGCCACGCGGAAAUGUACGAGGCAGAUGAAAGAAGAAAGAGUCGAAAAGGAUGGAGGAGAGUUGGACGCGUAGAGGCAGCAUAUACAACAGCCCCACCCUGCUACCCGGCUUCGCCGGUCGGACUCCGUGCGCCUCGCUCGCUCGCUGACUGGUUUCCCGAACAGAUGCAUCUUUCAGCAGGAAGAUAUGUGAUGGCGGCUAUGCGGCACGUCGUUUUCCUUCAGUCUGCGGCACGACAGGCGUCAGCAUUCGCUUGCUCACGGCACAUAGAGCCUUCCAAUUUCCCUUCACGGUCAGCCUCCUCUUGUGAGUCCUCUCGUGCUUUCCAUGGCACCUCCUAUCCCCCUGCUGUCCGACUUUCCGCACGACGUGCUUGGGUAAGUGUGUGGCCUAUGCCUUUUCACCCAUUCGAGAGUAUCCCCUCCCCACCCACCGGCAUCCAUUACUCACAAACACACGUACCCCUCAUGCAUUAUUCUGCAUCUCUCUAUCUCUUUUUUGCCGUCUAAGCGGCGCCGCGGGGGUUCGCCGGGUGCUACAAGACAGUGCCCGUCUACAUAAGUGAGAAAAUAUGUGUCUGUGUGCCUGUAUUAGUAUGUAUGCCGGCACGUGUGUCGCGCCACGCUCUCUUGCCCGCCUCCCCUGUGCCUGUCACUCGCUCUGGGCGCGCUGGCGGCGGGCGCCGGGUGGUGGCCGCGCGGAAGGUGGGCGGCGGCCCUUCCCUAUUUCUGUCUUUCGCUAUUUCUCUGUGCCCUACUCGCGUGAACAAACGAAAGCUGCUCGGCCCCGUGGCCCCGACCCGCG
rnacentral:misc_RNA from 1 species